GCGGGGUUAGCUCAGUUGGUAGAGCGACAGCGUGCCAUGUUGUAGGCCACGAGUUCGAAUCUCGUACCCCGCCCCA
rnacentral:tRNA from 1 species